AUCAAUGAACUUUUAAGCUCUAUUUAGGAAGCUGUUUGAUGCUGAUGGGAUCUAAAAUGGGAAGACUUACACUUAAUUCCGCAGUGGAGAUUCAUCCAAAUUCAAUUGCAUGACCACUCAAGAAAUCUUCUCGUCGUUCCAUUCCUCACAAGCUUGGUUGAAAGCAAAUUCAGCCUCAGAUCCAAGGCGGAACCUCCAAUUCCGGCCCAGAUUACGUCGUAAAUGACGAAGGAGAAGGAGGUAUCUUAACGAGAACAUUGUAUUUUCCGUCGGAAUGGCGAUGGAGGAAUUUAAUGCCUACAAUUCCAUGACGCAGCAGCCAUAUUAGCCAUGCCCGCACCGCCGUCAACUUCGAUGUCGUUUACAGAUAAUUCAACGGGAAAAUGAAUUGGAGGAGAAUCCAGUGACGUUAAGUGACUGCUUUUGCCCAAGAAUAUCUUGCUGACAUGGCCAAUCUCCAGUGCCUUUCUCCUACACACCAACCUUGUGUGUCUGACCACAUGGAAUAAAUCAAGGAUAUGAUGACUCAGGUAUGGAUCUUUAUGCCUACUCAACGAUUAAUUUUUUUAAAAUUUACUUUCUGAAAAUUGCAAUUAUAAGAUUCAAACCAGGGUAGUCCCACAACGAAAUCCAUUGAAAGAUCAUCCCAUAUUCGUUCGGAAAUAGGAAGCGACUAUAGCAAACCAACUGGAGCUUCAGUUCCCUCGUUCAAUUUGUUUCUCAUUGCAACCGAAGUAGGGUCAAUUUGCUGUUGGUCUAAAAUCAGCUUCAAAUUCAUACCUCCAGCCACACUAAUUUCCGUACAUUCUAGUGUUUGAGGAAGUCUUGAUAAACCAUCAGCUGUCCUAUUCUCUUUUCCUGGUUUGUGCACAAUCUCAAUGUUGAAUCCCAUUAAUUUUGUCAUCAACUUAUGAUAUUCUCAAGCCACCAUUCGUUGAAAAGCACAAACAACCAAACACCUUCAAAAUUAUCAGGUUUGGUUUGGUAUUAAACUAAGUUUCGUAGUGUGUCAUCUUCUCCAAUACACUUGGAACAACCAAACACCUUCAUAUAAAGACUGUUGUGUCUGCUGUUUCAACCCAAAACUCAUUCAAUAAGUUCUUCUCAUGCAACAUACCUCUUGUCAUCUCCAUAACACUCCAGUUCUUCCUCUUACUAACUCUGUUUUGAAGUAGAGUAUAUGAAGCAGUGAACUGAUUCUCUAUCCCAAAUUUUCAUUAAAGGAAUUAACCCUUUGUGAUGUGCAUUCA